GGGGCUGUAGCUCAAUUGGUAGAGCAUUUCGCUGGCAGCGAAAAGGUUAGGAGUUCGAGCCUCCUCAGCUCCACCA
rnacentral:tRNA from 1 species